UACGUAGGGGGCAAGCGUUGUCCGGAUUUAUUGGGCGUAAAGAGCGUGUAGGCGGCCAGGUAGGUCGGUUGUGAAAACUGGAGGCUCAACCUUCAGAGGUCGACCGAAACCAUCUGGCUAGAGUCCGGGAGAGGAGAGUGGAAUUCCUGGUGUAGCGGUGAAAUGCGCAGAUAUCAGGAAGAACACCCGUGGCGAAAGCGGCUCUCUGGAAAGGUACUGACGCUGAGACGCGAAAGCGUGGGGAGCGAACAGG
rnacentral:rRNA from 1 species